rnacentral:rRNA from 1 species
GGCUCAGGACGAACGCUGGCGGCGCGCCUAAAACAUGCAAGUCGAGCGAGAACCAGGGCUUCGGCCCUGGGGACAGCGGCGAACGGGUGCGUAACACGUGAGCAACCUGCCCCGAAGACCGGGACAAGCCGGGGAAACCUGGUCUAAUACCGGAUGCCCUCACCGGAUCGCAUGAUCUGGCGAGGAAAUGGAUUCCGCUUCGGGAUGGGCUCGCGGUCUAUCAGCUUGUUGGUGGGGUAACGGCCUACCAAGGCGACGACGGAUAGCUGGUCUGAGAGGACGAUCAGCCACACUGGGACUGAGACACGGCCCAGACUCCUACGGGAGGCAGCAGUUAGGAAUCUUGCGCAAUGGGGGAAACCCUGACGCAGCGACGCCGCGUGCGGGAUGAAGGCCCUCGGGUUGUAAACCGCUUUCAGCAGGGACGAAAUUGACGGUACCUGCAGAAGAAGGCCCGGCCAACUACGUGCCAGCAGCCGCGGUAAUACGUAGGGGCCUAGCGUUGUCCGGAAUUAUUGGGCGUAAAGAGCUCGUAGGCGGUUCGGCAAGUCGGAUGUGAAAUCUCCACGCUCAACGUGGAGGGGCCAUUCGAAACUGCCGUGACUCGAGUCCGGUAGGGGAGUGUGGAAUUCCCGGUGUAGCGGUGAAAUGCGCAGAUAUCGGGAGGAACACCAGUAGCGAAGGCGGCACUCUGGGCCGGUACUGACGCUGAGGAGCGAAAGCGUGGGGAGCGAACAGGAUUAGAUACCCUGGUAGUCCACGCCGUAAACGUUGGGCACUAGGUGUGGGACCCUAUCGACGGGUUCCGUGCCGUAGCUAACGCAUUAAGUGCCCCGCCUGGGGAGUACGGCCGCAAGGCUAAAACUC